rnacentral:rRNA from 1 species
UACGUAGGGUGCAAGCGUUAAUCGGAAUUACUGGGCGUAAAGCGUGCGCAGGCGGUUUUGUAAGUCUGUCGUGAAAGCCCCGGGCUCAACCUGGGAAUUGCGAUGGAGACUGCAAGGCUUGAAUCUGGCAGAGGGGGGUAGAAUUCCACGUGUAGCAGUGAAAUGCGUAGAGAUGUGGAGGAACACCGAUGGCGAAGGCAGCCCCCUGGGUCAAGAUUGACGCUCAUGCACGAAAGCGUGGGGAGCAAACACGG